UCCCUUACGCGACCCGUGCCGUCGCCCCC
rnacentral:sRNA from 1 species